rnacentral:rRNA from 1 species
AUUGAACGCUGGCGGCAGGCCUAACACAUGCAAGUCGAGCGGUAACACAGGGAGCUUGCUCCCGGGUGACGAGCGGCGGACGGGUGAGUAAUGUCUGGGAAACUGCCUGAUGGAGGGGGAUAACUACUGGAAACGGUAGCUAAUACCGCAUAACGUCGCAAGACCAAAGAGGGGGACCUUCGGGCCUCUUGCCGUCAGAUGUGCCCAGAUGGGAUUAGCUAGUAGGUGGGGUAAUGGCUCACCUAGGCGACGAUCCCUAGCUGGUCUGAGAGGAUGACCCGCCACACUGGAACUGAGACACGGUGCAGACUCCUACGGGAGGCAGCAGUGGGGAAUAUUGCACAAUGGGCGCAAGCCUGAUGCUGCCAUGCCGCGUGUAUGAAGAAGGCCUUCGGGUUGUAAAGUACUUUCAGCGGGGAGGAAGGUGUUGAGGUUAAUAACCUUAGCAAUUGACGUUACCCGCAGAAGAAGCACCGGCUAACUCCGUGCCAGCAGCCGCGGUAACAC